rnacentral:rRNA from 1 species
AUUGAACGCUGGCGGAAUGCUUUACACAUGCAAGUCGAACGGCAGCACGGACUUCGGUCUGGUGGCGAGUGGCGAACGGGUGAGUAAUGUAUCGGAACGUGCCCAGUCGUGGGGGAUAACGUAGUGAAAAUUACGCUAAUACCGCAUACGAUCUAUGGAUGAAAGCGGGGGACCGUAAGGCCUCGCGCGAUUGGAGCGGCCGAUAUCAGAUUAGGUAGUUGGUGGGGUAAGGGCUCACCAAGCCGACGAUCUGUAGCUGGUCUGAGAGGACGACAAGCCACACUGGAACUGAGACACGGUCCAGACUCCUACGGGAGGCAGCAGUGGGGAAUUUUGGACAAUGGGCGCAAGCCUGAUCCAGCCAUUCCGCGUGCAGGAUGAAGGCCCUCGGGUUGUAAACUGCUUUUGUACGGAACGAAAAGGUCCUGGUUAAUACCUGGGGCUCAUGACGGUACCGUAAGAAUAAGCACCGGCUAACUACGUGCCAGCAGCCGCGGUAA